UACGGGGGGAGCAAGCGUUGUUCGGAUUUACUGGGCGUAAAGGGCGCGUAGGCGGUCAGCACAAGUCAGUUGUGAAAUCUCCGGGCUUAACUCGGAAAGGUCAACUGAUACUGUGCGACUAGAGUGCAGAAGGGGCAACUGGAAUUCCUGGUGUAGCGGUGAAAUGCGCAGAUAUCAGGAGGAACACCGGUGGCGAAGGCGGGUCUCUGGGCCGUAACUGACGCUGAGGAGCGAAAGCGUGGGGAGCGAACAGG
rnacentral:rRNA from 1 species